UACGGGGGGAGCAAGCGUUGUUCGGAUUUACUGGGCGUAAAGGGCGCGUAGGCGGUCAGCACAAGUCAGUUGUGAAAUCUCCGGGCUUAACUCGGAAAGGUCAACUGAUACUGUGCGACUAGAGUGCAGAAGGGGCAACUGGAAUUCCCGGUGUAGUGGUGAAAUGCGUAGAUAUCGGGAGGAAUACCAGUGGCGAAGGCGGGUUGCUGGGCCGACACUGACGCUGAUGCGCGAAAGCCAGGGGAGCGAACGGG
rnacentral:rRNA from 1 species